AUUGAACGCUGGCGGAAUGCUUUACACAUGCAAGUCGAACGGCAGCACGGGUGCUUGCACCUGGUGGCGAGUGGCGAACGGGUGAGUAAUAUAUCGGAACGUAUCCAAUAAUGGGGGAUAACUAGCCGAAAGGUUAGCUAAUACCGCAUACGCCCUGAGGGGGAAAGCUGGGGAUCGUAAGACCUAGCGUUGAUGGAGCGGCCGAUAUCUGAUUAGCUAGUUGGUGGGGUAAGAGCCUACCAAGGCGACGAUCAGUAGCUGGUCUGAGAGGAGGACGAGCCACACUGGAACGGAGACACGGUCCAGACUCCUACGGGAGGAAGCAGUGGGGAAUUUGGGACAAUGGGGGCAACCCUGAUCCAGCCAUUCCGCGUGAGUGAAGAAGGCUUUCGGGUUGUAAGGCUCUUUCGCAAGGGAAGAAAACUCGAUCUCUAAUAUAGGUUGAGGCUGACGGUACCUUGAUAAGAAGCACCGGCUAACUACGUGCCAGCAGCCGCGGUAA
rnacentral:rRNA from 1 species